ACAUGCUAAUAUAGCCAAAAUCCCAUAACUUCACACUAACCAACCUGAUAAUUUAUCAGGUUGAUGUCCUUUCGAUCAGAAAAACACCACACAUAUAUACCAAAAGAACAAGAGGCUGCAGAACGCAAGCAGCUUUUAGUGCAAAUAGCGAACCAUUAUCAAUAGGAUGAUUAAAGUUCCAAGUGAGGUAGUCGGACAAAUAAAUUUAAUGAACGCACACUUGCUAAUAUAGCCCAAAAAUCCCAUAAGAACAAUAGAAUCAAAGCAAAUAAAAUUACCUCAUCACUCAACAGAACAAAGCAACUUAAAAAUUGAGAAGAAUUUAGAACGGACCUUUACUGAAGCCAAAACUAUAUUUUUGAUUGAAUAUAGAAAAGCUCCUUUAACAAAGCUUCACAACAGAGAUAAACAUCGGACAAAAGUUUCAAACCAAUACUCCAAGAAAUUCGAACAAAAUCUGGAACCAAAACCUCGUCGAGGACCUCGCCGGUGACUCGAAACCUCGCCGU
rnacentral:lncRNA from 1 species